rnacentral:rRNA from 1 species
AUUGAACGCUGGCGGCAUGCCUUACACAUGCAAGUCGAACGGCAGCACGGGUGCUUGCACCUGGUGGCGAGUGGCGAACGGGUGAGUAAUACAUCGGAACGUACCUUAUCGUGGGGGAUAACGCAGCGAAAGCUGUGCUAAUACCGCAUACGCCCUGAGGGGGAAAGCGGGGGAUCGCAAGACCUCGCGCGAUUAGAGCGGCCGAUGCCUGAUUAGCUUGUUGGUGGGGUAAAAGCCCACCAAGGCGACGAUCAGUAGCUGGUCUGCGAGGACGAUCAGCACAACUGGGACUGGGACACGGCCCAGACCCCUACGGGAGGCAGCAGUGGGGAAUUUUGGACAAUGGGGGCAACCCUGAUCCAGCAAUGCCGCGUGAGUGAAGAAGGCCUUCGGGUUGUAAAGCUCUUUUGUCAGGGAAGAAACACCGGCUCUAACACAGUCCGGGAAUGACGGUACCUGAAGAAUAAGCACCGGCUAACUACGUGCCAGCCGCCGCAGUAA